rnacentral:rRNA from 1 species
GACGAACGCUGGCGGCGUGCUUAACACAUGCAAGUCGAACGGAAAGGCCCUGCUUUUGUGGGGUGCUCGAGUGGCGAACGGGUGAGUAACACGUGAGUAACCUGCCCUUGACUUUGGGAUAACUUCAGGAAACUGGGGCUAAUACCGGAUAGGAGCUCCUGCUGCAUGGUGGGGGUUGGAAAGUUUCGGCGGUUGGGGAUGGACUCGCGGCUUAUCAGCUUGUUGGUGGGGUAGUGGCUUACCAAGGCUUUGACGGGUAGCCGGCCUGAGAGGGUGACCGGCCACAUUGGGACUGAGAUACGGCCCAGACUCCUACGGGAGGCAGCAGUGGGGAAUAUUGCACAAUGGGCGGAAGCCUGAUGCAGCAACGCCGCGUGCGGGAUGACGGCCUUCGGGUUGUAAACCGCUUUCGCCUGUGACGAAGCGUGAGUGACGGUAAUGGGUAAAGAAGCACCGGCUAACUACGUGCCAGCAGCCGCGGUGAUACGUAGGGUGCGAGCGUUGUCCGGAUUUAUUGGGCGUAAAGGGCUCGUAGGUGGUUGAUCGCGUCGGAAGUGUAAUCUUGGGGCUUAACCCUGAGCGUGCUUUCGAUACGGGUUGACUUGAGGAAGGUAGGGGAGAAUGGAAUUCCUGGUGGAGCGGUGGAAUGCGCAGAUAUCAGGAGGAACACCAGUGGCGAAGGCGGUUCUCUGGGCCUUUCCUGACGCUGAGGAGCGAAAGCGUGGGGAGCGAACAGGCUUAGAUACCCUGGUAGUCCACGCUGUAAACGGUGGGUACUAGGUGUGGGGUCCAUUCCACGGGUUCCGUGCCGUAGCUAACGCUUUAAGUACCCCGCCUGGGGAGUACGGCCGCAAGGCUAAAACUCAAAGGAAUUGACGGGGCCCCGCACAAGCGGCGGAGCAUGCGGAUUAAUUCGAUGCAACGCGUAGAACCUUACCUGGGUUUGACAUGGAUCGGGAGUGCUCAGAGAUGGGUGUGCCUCUUUUGGGGUCGGUUCACAGGUGGUGCAUGGCUGUCGUCAGCUCGUGUCGUGAGAUGUUGGGUUAAGUCCCGCAACGAGCGCAACCCUUGUUCACUGUUGCCAGCACGUUAUGGUGGGGACUCAGUGGAGACCGCCGGGGUCAACUCGGAGGAAGGUGGGGAUGACGUCAAGUCAUCAUGCCCCUUAUGUCCAGGGCUUCACGCAUGCUACAAUGGCUGGUACAGAGAGUGGCGAGCCUGUGAGGGUGAGCGAAUCUCGGAAAGCCGGUCUCAGUUCGGAUUGGGGUCUGCAACUCGACCUCAUGAAGUCGGAGUCGCUAGUAAUCGCAGAUCAGCAACGCUGCGGUGAGUACGUUCCCGGG